rnacentral:lncRNA from 1 species
UUAGUUCAGUGAGAGGUUCAGAUUGAUGGGUAAUGGGGUUUUCAAUGGGAGUUUUUAUGUGUGGUUCAGAUGGAGGUGUUGGUGGUUAUUCAAAUGGUGAAGGAAAAUUUGUUUCUGGUUCAGAUUGGUUGUGGGCGGAGAAGGCACAAGCUUGAAGUUGAGCGAGAGUGUGAGAUUGAGGGUCAGAUAGCUCAGUGUCAGAGGAGAUGGUAUAGUAAGGUG